rnacentral:rRNA from 1 species
UACGUAGGGUGCGAGCGUUAAUCGCAAUUACUGGGCGUAAAGCGUGCGCAGGCGGUUCGUUGUGUCGGCGGUGAAAGCCCCGGGCUUAACCUGGGAAUGGCCGUCGAAACUGGCGAACUGGAGUGUGGCAGAGGGGGGUGGAAUUCCGCGUGUAGCAGUGAAAUGCGUAGAGAUGCGGAGGAACACCGAUGGCGAGGGCAGCCCCCUGGGCUGACACUGACGCUCAGGCACGAAAGCGUGGGGAGCAAACAGG